GAUGAACGCUGACAGAAUGCUUAACACAUCAGCAAUUGAUUGGUGGCGGACGGGUGAGUAACGCGUAAAGAACUUGCCUCCCAGCUAGGGACAACAUUUGGAAACGAAUGCUAAUACCUAAUCCUGUGAGAGAGCUUUGCGUCCCCUUAGCUAGUUGGAGAGGUAACGGCUCACAAAGGCGAUGAUGGGUAGCCGGCCUGAGAGGGUGAUCGGCAAAAAGGAGACUGAGACACGGCCCUUACGCCGACGGGAGGCAGAAGUAGGGAAUAUUGGACAAUGGACCAAAGUCUGAUACAGCAAUUCUGUGUGCACGAUGAAGUUUUCGGAAUGUAAAGUGCUUUCAGUUGGGAAGCGGUACCAACAGAAGAAGUGACGGCUAAAUACGUGCCAGCAGCCGCGGUAAUUC
rnacentral:rRNA from 1 species